GGAACUGCCCUCGAUACUGGCGGUCUAGAGGUCGAGAGAGGUGAGUGGAAUGGCGAGUGUAGAGGGUGAAAUUUCGGUAGAUAUUCGCCGGAACCACCCAGUGGCGAAGGGCGGGCUCCACUGGGCUUCGAUACCUGACCGCUGAGGUGCGAAAGGCGUGGGGAGGCAAACCAGGAUUAGAUACCCCUGGUAGUCCCACGCCGUAAACCGAUGAGUGGCUAGACGUCGGGCAGCCAUGGCUGUUUCGGUGUCGCCAGCUAACCGCAUUAAGGCACUUCGCCUGGGGAGUACGGCCGCAAGGUUAAAACUCAAAGGAAUUGACGGGGGCCCGCACAAGCGGUGGAGCCAUGUGGUUUAAUUCGAAGCAACGCGCAGAACCUUACCAUCCCCUUGACAUCCCGGUCCGCGGUUACCCGAGAGGGUUUCCCUUCAGUUCGGCUGGACCGGUGACAGGUGCUGCAUGGCUGUCAUCAGCUCGUGUCGUGAGAUGUUGGGUUAAGUCCCGCAACGAGCGCAACCCACGCCCUUAGUUGCCAGCAUUUGGUUGGGCACUCUAAGGGAACCGCCGGUGACAAGCCGGAGGAAGGUGUGGAUGACGUCAAGUCCUCAUGG
rnacentral:rRNA from 1 species